rnacentral:rRNA from 1 species
UAUGUAGGGUGCGAGCGUUGUCCGGAAUUAUUGGGCGUAAAGAGCUCGUAGGCGGUGUGUCGCGUCGGUCGUGAAAACUCGAGGCUUAACCUCGAGAUGUCAUCGGAAACCAUUUGGCUAGAGUCCGGAAGAGGAGAGUGGAAUUCCUGGUGUAGCGGUGAAAUGCGCAGAUAUCAGGAAGAACACCAAUGGCGAAAGCAGCUCUCUGGGACGGUACUGACGCUGAGACGCGAAAGCGUGGGGAGCGAACAGG